rnacentral:lncRNA from 1 species
CAAAUAUACAUUAGUAAAAUCUUGAUCUGUGAAAAAAUAAAAAUAAAAAACAAACAGAUUUUUACGUGGAAACCCUUUCGGGAAAAAACCACGGGCAGAGGAGAAGAAAAUUCACUAUGUCGAAUUCAAAUGAUUAUAAGAGGAAUAGACUAUGUCUAUUUAUAGGCUUGUAAAGCCAUAUUCUAGUAAGACUGAAACACUUUAUUCUAAUCAAUAUCAAAUAGAUAGAAUUUAAUAAGGUUUAAAAAACUUUAUUCUAAAAUAAAAUAAAAGAAGUGUAAUUCUAUAUGGAUUCUUCUUUUAUUUUU